GCUGGCGGCGUGCUUAACACAUGCAAGUCGAGCGGAAAGGCCCCUUCGGGGGUACUCGAGCGGCGAACGGGUGAGUAACACGUGAGUAAUCUGCCCUCCACUUCGGGAUAGCCCUCCGAAAGGGGGAUUAAUACCGGAUGGGCACCACGGACCGCAUGGUGUGUGGUGGAAAGUUUUUCGGUGGGGGAUGAGCUCGCGGCCUAUCAGCUUGUUGGUGAGGUGAUGGCUCACCAAGGCUUCGACGGGUAGCCGGCCUGAGAGGGUGACCGGCCACACUGGGACUGAGACACGGCCCAGACUCCUACGGGAGGCAGCAGUGGGGAAUAUUGGACAAUGGGCGGAAGCCUGAUCCAGCAACGCCGCGUGAGGGAUGACGGCCUUCGGGUUGUAAACCUCUUUCAGCACCGACGAAGCGUGAGUGACGGUAGGUGCAGAAGAAGGACCGGCCAACUACGUGCCAGCAGCCGCGGUAAUACGUAGGGUCCGAGCGUUGUCCGGAAUUAUUGGGCGUAAAGAGCUCGUAGGCGGUGUGUCGCGUCGGGAGUGAAAACCCAGGGCUUAACUCUGGGCUGGCUUCCGAUACGGGCACACUAGAGGUAUGCAGGGGAGAACGGAAUUCCUGGUGUAGCGGUGAAAUGCGCAGAUAUCAGGAGGAACACCGGUGGCGAAGGCGGUUCUCUGGGCAUGACCUGACGCUGAGGAGCGAAAGUGUGGGGAGCGAACAGGAUUAGAUACCCUGGUAGUCCACACCGUAAACGUUGGGCGCUAGGUGUGGGAUCCAUUCCACGGGUUUCCGUGCCGUAGCUAACGCAUUAAGCGCCCCCCCUGGGGAUACCGGCCCAAGGCUAAAACUCAAAGGAAUUGACGG
rnacentral:rRNA from 1 species